GAACCGGUGGCCAGAGUGGUCGAAGGCGGCGGGCUUUUAACCCGAUCCCGUAAGGGCGUCGUGAGUUCGAAUCUCACCCGGUUCUCCA
rnacentral:tRNA from 1 species